UACGGAGGGAGCUAGCGUUGUUCGGAAUUACUGGGCGUAAAGCGCACGUAGGCGGCUUUGUAAGUUAGAGGUGAUAGCCUGGAGCUCAACUCCAGAAUUGCCUUUAAGACUGCAUCGCUUGAAUCCAGGAGAGGUGAGUGGAAUUCCGAGUGUAGAGGUGAAAUUCGUAGAUAUUCGGAAGAACACCAGUGGCGAAGGCGUCUCACNUGGACUGGUAUUGGCGCUGAGGUGCGAAAGCGUGGGGAGCAAACAGGAUUAGAUAC
rnacentral:rRNA from 1 species